rnacentral:rRNA from 1 species
UUCCGGUUGAUCCUGCCGGAGGUCACUGCUAUUGGAGUUCGAUUAAGCCAUGCGAGUCAAUAGUUCUUCGUGAACUAGGCGGACUGCUCAGUAACACGUGGGUAAUCUACCCUCGGGUCAGGGACAACCCCGGGAAACUGGGGAUAAUACCUGAUAGGUGAAGUGGUCUGGAAUGAUACUUCGCCUAAAGCUCCGGCGCCCGAGGAUGAGUCUGCGGCCGAUUAGGUUGUUGGCGGUGUAAAGGACCACCAAGCCUGUGAUCGGUACGGGUGGUGAGAGCCAUAGCCCGGAGAUGGGGGCUGAGACACGGCCCCAGGCCCUACGGGGCGCAGCAGGCGCGAAAACUACGCAAUGCGCGAAAGCGUGACGUGGGAACUCCAAGUGCCUUGCCUUCGGGUAAGGCUUUUGUGCAGUGUAAGUAGCUGCACGAAUAAGAGCGGGGUAAGACCGGUGCCAGCCGCCGCGGUAACACCGGCCGCUCAAGUGGUGACCGCUUUUAUUGGGCCUAAAGCGUUCGUAGCCGGUCCGGUAAGUCCUUGGGUAAAUCCUUCGGCUUAACCGAAGGAAUUCCGAGGAUACUGCUGGACUUGGAGUUGAGAGAAGUCGGAGGUACCUCCGGGGUAGGGGUGAAAUCCUAUAAUCCUGGGGGGACCACCAGUGGCGAAGGCGUCCGACUAGAGUAAGCUCGACGGUGAGGGACGAAAGCCAGGGGCGCGAACGGGAUUAGAUACCCCGGUAGUCCUGGCUGUAAACGCUGCGCGCUAGGUGUUACGUCCUCUACGAGGGGACGUAGUGCCGAAGAGAAGUUGAUAAGCGUGCCGCCUGGGAAGUAUUACCGCAAGGUAGAAACUUAAAGGAAUUGGCGGGGGAGCACCACAAGGGGUGGAGUCUGCGGUUCAAUUGGAUUCAACGCCGGG